GUUCUAGAGUAAAAGAUGACCCAUUAUGAGAAUUUAUACAUGGUGAAUCCUAAAUAGGUAGCAUGUUUACCAUUACAUAAGUACAAGUUAGAAUAUAAGCUGCACUUUAGCCUUAGCUUAGCAAUUAAUGUCUAGAAUUACCAGAGAGCAUCGUUUUAAGUCCUUGAAAUAGAUGAAGACAUUUAAAUUUCCCUACGUGAGUUUCAUAUGUAUGCACAAGCCUAGCCAAUUCUUAAUGUAAAGAUAUACCUGUAAUUAUGGACUAGAUUAGGAAGAUUUGAUUGUGCCCAAUUAGUGCAGCUGUAUGCAUAAUAUCUCCAGUUUUAGUUUUUCUAACAUGUAUUUAUACUCCCAAUAUGCUUGAGGAAAUAAUUAAGCAUUUUUAUUCCCAUUCUUCUUUUUCUACAUUUUAUCAAAGCCUGGGUUUGAGUCCCUUCACUGAAUUCUUUUCUUCUUAUGUUCUUCAAAAAGUAACCUAGUUUCAAGUCUAAAAAAUAGACCCAAGAAAGACCCUUUUACUACCCAUAUCAUAUAUCAACCCUUUUGUCACAUCUACCACCCCAAAAUCAAGCACCAAUCACUGGCGAUCCUUGUCUCCGAAUAAACGCUGCUGGAGUAGCCAGCGCGUGGUCCAACACACCUCCUUUUCUUUCUGAUGCAAGCCCACGCACCGGCUUGUGAGCCUAUUGAUGAAAGAUAUUGAUAUUUAAGAGAAUUUUUUGUGUAUUUCUUGAUGAUAAAAAAUGAUAUACAAGGCUCUUAUUUAUGUACAAAGACUCAAACCUAAAUACGAUGCUAAUUAUAGUAGUAAAAUACAAUUAAUGUCUAAUAAACUGCAUUCCUAAAAUCAAAGGAUUCCAACACUCCCCUCAAGUUGGUUCAUGGAUAUCACACAUGCUCAACUUGCAAAAUAAAGUGUGGAAUACUUUGCUACUUAGACCCUUUAUAAAUACAUCAGCCCACGACUCCUUUAAAGUCACAUAAUUCAUAGUCAAUGAACCAUCUAUAAUCUUCUCCUUUAUGAAGUGCCGAUCAAUCUCUAUGUGCUUGGUCCUAUCAUGUUGUACUAGAUUGUGGACAAUAUUAAUAGCAGCUUUGUUGUCACAAAAUAAACAUAAACUAUUAGUCUCUGACAACAUCAACUCCUCCAUCAACUUCCACAACUACAAUAGCUCACAUAUGCCUUGCGCCAUGGCCCUAUAUUCUACUUCUACUUUUGAUCGAGCAGUCACAUUUUAUUUUUUUCCUUCUUCAAGUAAUUAGGUUACCACCAACAAGGUGCAAUAACCUGAUGUAGACAUCCUAUCAUCAAGCGAUUCAGCCCAAUCUGCAUCUGCAAAGACUUUUAUCUAGAAAUGACCAUGCUUUGAAAAAAAAUAUAUAUAUUUUCCAGGAGCAGAUUUUAGAUACCUCAAUAUCCAAAAAAUAGCUUCUAAGCGAGAUGCUUGAGAAUCAUGCAUACAUUGACUCACUAGACUUACUGCAUAAGCUAUGUCUACUCUAGUGUGUGAGAGAUAAAUUAAUCUCCUAACCAACCUUCGAUAUCUUCAUACUUCUGUUUUAGCAGAUGUAACCGUCUUU
rnacentral:misc_RNA from 1 species